GACAAAGUUAGAAAUGCUCAGACUUUUUUGAAGAGUAAAUCGCUGAUUGAGAAUCACCUCUACAGGCACCAGAAGCCUUCUCAAGUCUCAACACGAUGCUUUUGUAAACGAGAUAUAUGGACGUUUUGGUGCUCUACAAAUUAUAUUUAUUUAUUUUUCAAAAAAAUCACAUUAAAAAUGAAAAGUAAAUUUUCAUACUCAAUCUUUUUGUAUUCAGAUUAAUAUUUAACAAGUUGAAUCAACUCCGUUAUCCGAGCCUGUAACUGAAAUUGGGCCAAAUUCAAAAUUGACCUUGACUGUGACCUGGCUGAACAAUAUGAUUUUAGAGUUUUCUCUGAUAUGCUGUAUUUUUCAAAAAAGUGGUUGCAAUUCUCUUAGAAUAAAGAUAUAGUGGC
ensembl:lincRNA linc-61 ncRNA